rnacentral:rRNA from 1 species
CCUACGGGAGGCAGCAGUAGGGAAUAUUGGGCAAUGGAGGCAACUCUGACCCAGCCAUGCCGCGUGCAGGAAGACGGUCCUCUGGAUUGUAAACUGCUUUUGAAUGGGAAGAAUGUGCUCCUUGCGAGGGGUAAUGACGGUACCAUUAGAAUAAGCCACGGCUAACUACGUGCCAGCAGCCGCGGUAAUACGUAGGUGGCGAGCGUUAUCCGGAUUUAUUGGGUUUAAAGGGUGCGUAGGCGGCUUAAUAAGUCGGUGGUUAAAAGUAGCAGCUUAACUGUUUUACAUGCCAUCGAUACUGUUGAGCUUGAGAUAUUUGGAGGCAGCUAGAAUUUCCGGUGUAGCGGUGAAAUGCAUAGAUACCGGAAGGAAUACCAAUUGCGAAGGCAGGUUGCUACGAAUAAACUGACGCUGAUGCACGAAAGCGUGGGGAUCAAACAGGAUUAGAUACCCUGGUAGUCCACGCCGUAAACGAUANAUACUAGUUAGUUAGGUUAGGUACGUCUAGUGACGAACGGAACCGGAACGUAAGUAAUACACCGUACGGAGGUACGACCGGCGACGGUACGAACGUACGAACGAAGUAGUAGACGNGNGAGACGCGACGACGACGACGACGGAGGAGGAGG